GUAACACUGAGCAGGAGAACAAAAACUGUACAAACAACAAUGGUAAAGAUGGAGGCAGCUUAGAGGAAGAACUGAGAGAGACAACCUCCCAGCUUCACAGUGCCAGCAGUGGUGAGAACAGCAAUAGUCAAUCAGCUGGAAAUGAAAAUGAAGGCAGCAAUAUCCACAAGACCACAGAGUCAAGUUUGUCGAAUGAGCCGCUGGCCAACCUGAAGCAGGACAACCCUGAAGAGGGCUCACGGGGUGGGGUGGGCUCAGUGGAGGGCAGCAGCAAUGAGACCAAUGCGGGAGAGGACACAGUGAGCCCUAAUAAGGAUGUCUCCAAAAAGAGCAAAGCUGUAUCGGGCCCGGAGGUGAGCGCUUCACCCCGCCGCUUGCUACGCUGUGCUCUCCUCUGAGCACCACAGGCCAUGUCCCCAACACUCCCACUGACCAGCCCAUCUCGUGAACUCUGAUUUUAGGUUGACUUCUUGACAAAGGGAAACGAGACCUUGGAGGUCUAGUGUGUUGGGAUGGGGGGCAGUUUGCAGAACUUGAUGAAUACCAAAAAUAAAAAUGUUAAUGCUGCCUAGUUUUGAUAAAAUAUUUAAUAAGGAGUACAAUUGUUAUGCGGGCAAACAUC
ensembl:lncRNA